CCCGGGCAGCUAAAUGGAAUUCAGCCAUCAUUCAUUGUACUAUUGACAUCUGUGCUUUUCCUCCUGUAUAUAAAUGUCCUCUGUAUAA